CAGUUGUCCAGUGUAUUGUCGAACUCUCCUAACAUAUACCAAGUUUCCAUAAGCAGUAGUGGACAUCUGGAUUCUCUGCUGUGUUGCAUGACAUUGGCUCUUCCAGGCCUGCAGGGGACGCUUCCCACCUUGUCAUGAAGCAGCAAGAACGCCCUCCCCCAGAUGCUGAGAAGAUGCAGGCUCUUGGAUCUCCUGGCCAAGGAGAAGACUUUGGGCCAGACAGACUUCUCGUCUUCAUACAUUGCCAGGUCUCAGACUUCACAUACCACGGUACAUGUAUGGCCAUCACAGGACAACCAUGGAAGCCAGUUCUUCUCUUCCACCAUAGCUGUUCCAGCUGGCUCUUUAGCCCACUGAGCCAUAUGGCCAGCGUGAGCAGAGAGUUGGCACUUCCUGACUUGGUGUGGCUGUGUAAUUGCAUCUCAGCUGGUGAAGCAAUGGCACAUGAGGUGGACACUGCUACCAGGUUUGGCCAUUGAACCCUGUGCCCAUGUCACCCUUGGAAGUCACAAGGUGAAGCCACCAGAGCCUCUGUCAGCUAGAAGAACACUCAUGGCUGUGGCUGUGAUGGGAUUCUUCCCUGAGAAGGCUUUGUUCCAGAAGCUCGUCCCGGAAGCUGGAUGGUGAUGUGGAGAGGCAAUGAGAUCAUUAAGAGACAGAGCCUUGUGGCAAGUAAGUGGGUCACUGAUGGCCCUGUCUUCAGAAAAGAUUAGUACUCAUCUCAAGGGAUACAUCUGUCCUUCCAAGAAUGAGUUGCUAUAAAAGGACCCUGCCUGCUCCUGCAUCCACUGACUUCCUACUUUGCGUUGCAUGUGGGUGUCAUUGUGACGCCACUCACCAUGAGGUCAUCACUGGAGACUCAAUUAAUAGGCCGUUCAGUCUUGACCUCUUAGACUCAAAGACUGAGUUAAUAAACACCCUCCUUUAUGAAAUGUGUCUUUGGACCUUUCCUUAUAGGAACAAA
rnacentral:lncRNA from 1 species